GUCGAACGAGAAAGUUCCUUCGGGAGCGAGUAAAGUGGCGGACGGGUGAGUAACGCGUAGGAAUCUACCUUUCAGUGGGGGAUAGCUCGGGGAAACUCGAAUUAAUACCGCAUACACCCUUCGGGGGAAAGGGGGCCUCUCCUUGGAAGCUCUCGCUGUUAGAUGAGCCUGCGUGAGAUUAGCUUGUUGGUAAGGUAAUGGCUUACCAAGGCUACGAUCUCUAGCUGGUCUGAGAGGACGAUCAGCCACACUGGGACUGAGACACGGCCCAGACUCCUACGGGAGGCAGCAGUAGGGAAUAUUGGACAAUGGGGGCAACCCUGAUCCAGGCAUGCCGCGUGUGUGAAGAAGGCCUUAGGGUUGUAAAGCACUUUAAGUGAGGAAGAAAAGAUUUAAAUUAAUACUUUAAGUCCCUGACAUUAUUCACAGAAUAAGGACCGGCUAACUCCGUGCCAGCAGCCGCGGUAAUACGGAGGGUCCAAGCGUUAAUCGGAAUUACUGGGCGUAAAGCGCGCGUAGAUGGUUUAUUCAGUUGGGUGUGAAAUCCCUGGGCUCAACCUAGGAACUGCAUUCAAAACUUAUAAACUAGAGUACGAAAGAGGAGAGUAGAAUUCAUGGUGUAGCGGUGAAAUGCGUAGAGAUCAUGAGGAAUACCAGUGGCGAAGGCGACUCUCUGGUUCGAGACUGACAUUGAGGUGCGAAAGCGUGGGUAGCAAACAGGAUUAGAUACCCUGGUAGUCCACGCCGUAAACGAUGAGAACUAGCCGUUGGAUCUUUAGAUUCAGUGGCGCAGCUAACGCAUUAAGUUCUCCGCCUGGGGAGUACGG
rnacentral:rRNA from 1 species